UGUUGUUUUUGGCUUCCAGAGACAAGACUGAUAGCAGCAUGCUUUGGAAUGUGUGUCAUUGUCUUUAGGAUUCCAAGAUUCUGCCAUCGCUGCUGCUGCCGUCCAUGUGUCUGUGAUGGCUGGUGGGAACAGCACUUUCCUUUUGUGGGAAGAUGGUGUGGUGUGCAGUAGUGGUCACUGUUGGAGAGAUGUUUAUGUCUUGUACAUGAAGAGCUGCUCUCCCUCUGAUAGCUGCCUGCCAAGCGGCUCCAUCCAUCAUUGAGAGCGGGCACCACACGGCUCACUGCCCCAAGCAUCUUAGACUAAACACCAGCUAGAAUGUGGAGUUAGGCAAUCAAGUGUGAAACUUAACUUGUACUUGUCUUAGAAGCAGCAAAGGCAGCUGGGCCAGCUGAUAGACAAGGAACGCUGUCCUCCCAGAACCAGCCACGGGUGCAGAUGAUGGGCACUGCGGAGCCUGCUGUCUUACAGAAGCUGAUCCUGGAGGGUGCCUUUCAAUCCUCGAUGUCAGGAGGUUUUCUUUUAGAAAACAAUCUGAUUCAGAAUAAUGACUGCAAUUUUUCACUGGAUGGAAAACAAGUCUAGAGGAAUUGACCCUUAUUUUAAGUUCAAAGAUAGUAUAUCCUUGUUACUACUGUUACAUGUUUUAUAGCCAAUCUUCAAGACCACCUCUGGGCAAUGAAGUUAUUUGUGAUGGAAACACUUAGGUUCUUGAUUAAGUGAAUAUUAAAAAAAAAUCACUAUCAGAGAAAAGUAUACCUGAUACAAUGACUAGAACUGAAAAAUUAUGAACAAAUAGCAAAACAAUUAGUACUAUUUGACAAAAAGAAGUAAUCACCAAUAUAAAACUUUGGUAUGAUGUUCUAAACAUACGAAUAUCCACUUUUUAGCCAAACAUAAUGAUGCUUCUUUUGACACUGACUAUCCAACAUUUCUUGAGAAGAGUGGAUAGUUUCUAAGUCUAGAAGACAUGAUUUUGGAAUUUGAAGCUAGAAUGUCUGAACAUGUAGUACAGAUUAAAAAAAAACAAAUUAAAACUAUCUAGAAUGGCAAAAUAAAAAUGAAAUUAUCUUUUAA
rnacentral:lncRNA from 1 species